rnacentral:piRNA from 1 species
CAUGUUAUCAAGUGGUUAAGGCAGA